UACGUAGGGUGCAAGCGUUAAUCGGAAUUACUGGGCGUAAAGCGUGCGCAGGCGGUUAUAUAAGACAGUUGUGGAAAUCCCCCGGGCUCAACCUGGGAACUGCAUCUGUGACUGUAUAGCUAGAGUACGGUAGAGGGGGAUGGAAUUCCGCGUGUAGCAGUGAAAUGCGUAGAUAUGACGGAGGAACACCGAUGGCGAAGGCAAUCCCCUGGACCUGUACUGACGCUCAUGCACGAAAGCGUGGGGAGCAAACAGG
rnacentral:rRNA from 1 species